AUUCAGCUGAUAAGUCCCAAAUGGGACGAAACGCGCGUCCUGGAU
rnacentral:hammerhead_ribozyme from 1 species